rnacentral:lncRNA from 1 species
CAGAGGUUGCAGUAAGUCUGGAUGCCACAUCAAACUGUUUGUGGUACUUCUAAACUUCGUGGAAGAGCCCUGUUUCAUAAAUCUGAGACAGCCUUGGUCUGAGGGAGCAAAGACAGAGAAUUCACGUGCUGCCCAGGCAUAGCCACAUAGCAGGUGGACAUCCCUGGACACUUUUCUGACAAAGCACGCAAUGUGGGGACAACACAGAAAUCCAAGAAAGGCAAGACCAAUUUCAAGGCACUAAAUAAGUGGACUGAGACAAGAAGUACACAGAUACUUCCCAGAACAAAACCCUCAUUGGAUUUUCCUGGAAGUACGGAGAGUUACAUCCAGAGAACUCUGAACAUUUUGGAAGGACCCCAAUCCUGCAAACAAUGAAUGGCAAUAAAUCCUGGGACUGGAAAGGGGCUUCUCAACCCCAAGGCAACCAUAAAGUCCUAUACAAAGAAAGAUACAGCAGUGUGAAAGAGGCCUGGAUGAAAAAACAAAGACAGAGCCAGUGAGCCAGAGCCAGAGCCAGAGGACAAGAGAGAAAGGCAGAGAAUGGAAAACACAGACAGAGAAGGCAGAUGCGUAGAGAGACAGAGAUUCAAUGAGAAAAUAAGGAAGGAAGAAAGAAAGAAAACAAAAACGUUCUCAGCACUACAACUUCUGCCUUGUUCUGUUCCAGAACAGUAUGAGCUCAGUACUUUUUCAGACUCUCAAUUUUCUACAACUAAUAAUUUGCUCUUUCAGUUAGUGGCAAAGGCUUAACGACAAAGGUUCAUCUUUAAUAUUAGAGAGGCACUUUUAAAAUUUAUGAUGCUAAGCCUUUUGUUCUGGAUAUGGUAUGUUGCACAGGUCUAGGGACUGGGAUUUCAGAUGUCUAUUCCGUACCCUUAUUCUUUUAUUUAUUAAAUCUUUUAGUGUGUAUUUUUUUCUAUUUUCUCUUCUUUUAUUAGUAUGUAUUUCUUGAGUCAUUAACAUACAACAUAUAUAGGACUUCCUCUGAGGAUACAAUAAUGUAUAUGAUGGACAAGAUACGUAAAAGUGCCUUGAAGAGACUUGGUCUUGUGAGGGGACAGACAGGAAACAGGCAAUUAUCACCUAACUUAGGUCUGUUGUUUCAAGGAACUGUUUCAUCAUUACUCAUCAAUCGUUCCUAACAAUGCUUAAAACUAAAACAAUGAAGAAGCAGAAUAAUGAAAUUGCCUAGAAAGAUGAUGCAACUGUAAAAUAUAUCAUUAUUGCCCCAUCAUCACUAUGAUUGUUUAUAGUGUUGACUGAAGUAUUACAUCAUCAUUCAAGAAGAUAUAAAAGAAGCCUGGAGACAUCUUUUUUUUUUUGAGACACCAUUUUUACAGCCUACUUUGUUUCACUGAACACAGUUUAUAAUUCAGAAUUAUUUUUUCCAUCCAUAACUUCAAAUAGAAGAAAAGUGACAGAGGAAGAUAUUUCAAAAUUAUUAAAUGAAUCAGAAGAUGAAUGCAGAAAGACAGAGAGCAGUAAGCUAGACUCUAAUGAUUAGGGUAAAAUUGAAAUUGAUUAUACAAGUGAAAUCUCAGACUAUGAGUCUUCAUAAGACAAUGAAUUUUCUUAAACUAUAGAAUCAAUGAGUGAACAAUGCAUUUCAAAGAGAAAAAAGGAAAUAUACUAUAGUAGUUCCCUCUUAUCCAUAAAAAAUGUAUUCCAAGAUAUCCAGUAGAUACCUGAAACAAUGAAUAAUGCUGAAUUCUAUGUAUGCUGUGUUUUCUUGAUCUGAAAACCGAGAUACCUAAUAAGUGUCUCACAGACAGGUAGCUUAGAGAGCGUGGAUACAUCGGACAAAGGGAUGAUUCACAUACUUGGUGGAAUAGAGCGUGAUAACAUGACAUGCUACUCAGAAUGGUGUCCAAUUUAAAACUUGUGAGUUGUUUAUUUCAGGAAUUUUCCAUUUGAUAUUUUCAGACUGUGGUUGACUGUGGGUUACUGAAACUGCAAAUAGCAAAAUCAUGGAUAAGAGGACACGACUGUAUUCUCAUCUAGUUAGCCCUUUAACAGGAAGGAAUUUAUCCUGUUAUAUUUUGUGACAAGAACCUGAACCAUUUCAUUUUGCUAAAAGAGCAUGUCACAGUACUCUUUCUUUAUAAAAUUCAUGUGCCAAAAUCUGUGGUUUCUAACUGCACAAAUGCUAAAGAAAGAGAAAGGCAGGCAUCCAAAAGAAAUGGACAAUGUGAAUUUAAAAAUAAUUGAAUGCAUUAUUGUAAUCUAUGUUUGUAAAUACAAAAAUGAAAACCUGCCCAGGCACAGUGGCUCACGCCUGUAAUCCCAGCACUUUGAGAGGCCGAGGUGGGCGGAUCACGAGGUCAAGAGAUCAAGGCCAUCCUGGCCAACAUGGUGAAAUCCCGUCUCUACUAAAAAUAGAAAAAAAAUUAGAUGGGCACGGUGGCGUGCACCUGUAGUCCCAGCUACUCGCAAGGCUGAGGCAGGAGAAUUGCUUGAACCCGGGAGGCAGAGGUUGCAGUGAGCCGAGAUGGCACCACUGCACUCCAGCCUGGCGACAGAGUGAGACUACAUCUCAAAAAAAAAAAAUAAAGAAGGAACGAAAGAAGGAAGGAAGGAAGGAAGGAAGGAAGGAAAUGUUUUAUUAUGAAAUGAAGAUGACAUUUUCUUUUCAACAAAAUUAUGGACCAUCAAGGUUUAUAAAAAUUAAAGUACUACAUUUUGAUGAUGCACAUUCUAGAAAAACCAGAAGUGAUAAUAUAUAAUAGAACUUAUUAAAGAUAUAUUCAAAAUUUGAAAUUGGUAUCUGCAAGAUGAAUACACUGAAGGCUCAUAGAUGAUAACUGAUGAGCUGUUUGUUUCUUUCUGAAGAUAUUUCCCAUUUGAAGUAUAUACAUCUUUGAAAACAGGGAAUAUAAGAUAGAAACAUUUUGUUUUACUAUAUUUAAAUUCUUAUCAAAACUUUCACUUUCCCUUUAUUUCUACUCCUGUAAACUAUUAGAAAAACUAAAUAAUUUUUUUUAAUAAUUAAAACUCCAAGAGGUUGAUAGAGAAAAUUACUCAUUCCUGGUAUACUGAGAUUAGAAUGUAUAUUUUCUAUGUCUUCAUUGUAUACUUAUCAAGUUAUCCUUUUUAAUACAAUUAUUUAUGUCUUAGCUUACCUCUUUUCUGGACCACCAGCUUGCUGAGAGGAUUCAACAACUACUUACUGAAUAAACAUUAAAAUUCCCGAAACUUUUGUUGUGUGAAAAUAAUUAAAUGAUUGGAAUUAGAGUGAAUAUGUUUUUAUGGAACUAUGCCUACCUUGGAGCAGGAUUUUUUUCAGAAGUCUAAAGCAAAGCUAAAUGGUACCUAGUCUUGUCUAAUACAAGCAGUGAGCUCUGAAAUACAUUAAACCAUUAAAUAACAGUGACUAUAAUGCAAUUACAUUUGACCUCUUCUCAGCGAGAUUUAA